AACAGUGUGUUACCCAAUCUAAAGCCCAAGUUUGAAAAGGAUACAGUCGGUGAAGAUUCUAACCCUGUAGAAAGAGUGUGUUACCCAAUCUAAAGCCCAAGUAUGAAAAGGAUACAGUCGGUGAAGAUUCUAACCCUGUAGAAAGAGUGUGUUACCCAAUCUAAAGCCCAAGUUUGAAAAGGAUACAGUUGGUGAAGAUUCCAACCCUGUAGAAAGAGUGUGUUACCCAAUCUAAAGCCCAAGUUUGAAAA